UACGUAGGGUGCGAGCGUUAAUCGGAAUUACUGGGCGUAAAGCGUGCGCAGGCGGUUCGCCAAGUCAGGUGUGAAAUCCCCGGGCUUAACCUGGGAAUUGCGCUUGAAACUAGCGGGCUUGAGUGUGGCAGAGGGGGGUGGAAUUCCACGUGUAGCAGUGAAAUGCGUAGAGAUGUGGAGGAACACCGAUGGCGAAGGCAGCCCCCUGGUUGGAUACUGACGCUGAGACGCGAAAGCGUGGGGAGCAAACAGG
rnacentral:rRNA from 1 species